GACUUUCGUCGUCAACAAAACUUCGCAAACCUCAGAGCAAAUCUUUUUUAACGUAAUAGCAGGAGCUUUGCCUUUCAUUUAAGAAGAAUGGAAUUGAUCCAGUUUUAAGGAAAACCAGGCCCAAAACCUAUACAGAGCACACAAACAGCCUAGAGAACGGCAACCCCACACACAAAGCCCAACUAGAGUUAUCAUUGCCAAGCUCGACACAAGGGAUAAGCAGCUCCGACUCCAUAAGAUGGGCUGACAGACAACAGGCGGUUGGAUUGGGACAUCAACACGGCGACACCAUACCAAACUCAGCACAACGACGACAGAGUAACACGCCGAAGCGAACACCACCACCACGCAAACAACACACCCAACAAAACACUACACCACCACAAACUGGGAGAGGAAGAGAAAGAAGCCGUCGUGAACUGCGCCGUCGUCGCCAACGCUGUGCCACGCCAAAAGCCGCAGCCCGCUGCAAGCCUCAGCGACACCUGCAACUCCUCCACCAUGGGAAAUCACCCUCAAGCCACACGCACGGUCGUCGAUCGCUCAGCACACACUCAUCUGCCAAGGACUUAGAAAUCUCCGCCCACCGGCACUCCUCUACUGCUGUGCGCGAGCAACACCACCAACCAACCACCGCCACUACCUGACCAAGAUGGGCCUCAGAUGCGGCACCUCUAAGGAGGGCACGACGCCAAUGACGCCACCGUCGCACGUCCAAGGAUGGACAAGGCUCACACUCUCGAGAGCCCCAUGCAGUAGGGGACAUGAUGCCUCCCAAUGGUGCCCCCAACAGGUAGAGCAACGCCACAAGGGUGUCACCACCAUCGCUAUUGACAUAGACGUCAGUGAAGACUUACGCCCGACUCAACGCCACAAGGGUGUCACCACCAUCGCCAUUGACAUAGACGUCAGUGAAGACUUACGCCCGACUCAGCACCUGCCAUAUGUUCUUGCCCAAGCCAGUAGCCCAGCCCGCUCCUCUUGCCCCCGCAUCGACUCCACCGGAAGAAGCCCGUCACAGCCCAAAGCACCACCACGGCACCAUCAGCAUCACCGCCGAGAAGCAAGAACUGCCUCACCACAAAGCCUGCCGUCCGUGCGCUGCCCCAGCCAACCAAGCCACGGCAGCCACAGCCGGCCACGGCCUGCAGCCACAGCACGAAGUCAAGUAGCCCCUAGCGCCAGACACCUGCACUGGCCACGACCACCGUCGGUGCCGCCCGAGCCGGCCGCCGCCGCUGCCCGGCGUCCUGCCGCCCCACGCACAUCACACACCUCUCGUCGCACGGCCACCGGAUCCAGCCGAGGGAAUAUCGGAUCUGGUGGCCCUAUCCUCCUCCACCGCCAGCCCGUCAUCGCCGACGAGGAGGUCCGGGGGACCAGGCAGCCGCGUCCGCCCCAAUCCACCGGAGAAGAGAAGAGAGGGCCCCGCCGCCGCCUUCCCCGCAGGCCGCACGAGCAGCCGGCAUCCUGCUCGGGCAGCGGUGCGGCGAGAAGAGGCGAGGUGAGGAUGGCGGCGCCGCGGCGGCUAGGAUUAGGUGUCCGCUCGGUCGCCCGCGCGGGGGGCGACGCGAGCGUCUCCUUCUCUCUGAUGUAUAGAAAUAAAACCAUCUCAGAGCAAAUCGAUUCGCGCGGACACAUGCCGGUCAGAUAAGCAAAAUCGCUUGACUUUCAUGGAUUGGAUGAAUUUACUCACCAAAGGUCAGGAGGAGCAAGACCAAGACAGUUGCUGCUGCGACCUGGGCCUUCAUGACUGAAAUUAGGGAGAUUUGUUUUUGUCGAGUGAGGAGGAAAAGAGAAGGGCGCAGGGGUGAGAGAACGGUCAAGACUAGUGUCAUUCCGUUGUGACAUCGACAGGUUGGAGGACCCGUACAACUGUGGGUUCGGAGCGGGUAAUAAAUCCCGCCCGCGGGUUCCCCACAGGCCUGAAAAACAUACAUAUCUGGCUCAAGCCCAAUAACGUGUGGCUGCAUCUCUAGGUACAUAAGGCCCACAGUCUCCCACAAAACACAGGCGUCGCCGCUGCUUCCAUUAGCUGUCUAACUUUCCCGGCGGCUCGGCCAGGCGGCCAGCGCCGCUCCUCCUCCCACCCCUGGUGUGCAGUGCUCUUCCAACCCCACCCAAGCCCGAAGUUGCUUCCCCGGCUCUCGGCGUGGCGGCCCCGCUGUAGCGCUACUCUCCUUCCUCGGUCGGCGCUUGCUGCAGCAGCGCAGCUCCUCUCCUCCCCUCGACCGGCGCCUGCUACAGCAGUGCAACUCCUCCCCCUACAGCUAGUAGCAUUCAUGUGGCAUUGUGGCCAGUAGCAGUCCUGUGGCUGGAGCUGCAAACUUUCCUUUUCAAUGUUCUUUGUAGGCUUAUUACUCUCUUCGGAUCCGAUUGGGCGAGUGAUUUAGUGGAAAUGCCUAGCCAGCUAUUCCAUGGUUCAUUGUUGCUUGGACUUAUUAGUAGAGCAACAUUUGAAUAUAGGUAUCUGAUACUUGAUAUUUUGAACUCGGUUCAUUUCUAAUAUUUCUAAUAUGUACUAGUCAUCCGGCUUUAUUUUUUCCCA